GUGACAGUCAAAGCAGUGGAGCUGAUAGUCUGGAAGUACAUGUGGGUACCCUACCCACUUUUUGGCUUAGCUAGUGCAUCUCAGUUCCCACCAACCUGAGACUUCCCUCCUCAUAAAGGCACGUUAUGCUGAGAGCUUCCCCACCUCUUUCAGUCAUAGUCUCAUUCCAACAGAAGCUGCUCAGGUUGCUUUUUGGAGAAGGCAAUGCUUGAACCCCCACAUUCCCUGUGACUGCACAAUGGGCUCACGUUAGAAUCUUUGAGCCUCCGACCUUCCUUGGUGAUAAACAAAGAGGCACAAUUUUGGGUUUCAGAAGAUCAUCCAGUCAGUCGCUCACUGCUGAGAGGAAGACACAGAGUAGGGUGCUGAAAUCAGUUGAGCUACUUGAAGCCACAAAGGUGGCAGAAGAAGGAAAACACUUGAUUUUGCAUAGGAAACUUUCUGAUUUCUGGGACUUCUCCCUGCUAGGGAAGGAUUACUGCAGCCCACCACUUCUGAAACAUCUCAGAGAUAGAGCAGUCUGUCCCAGAGGCCAUCUGUGCUGACACCACUGGCUUUGGGGCACUUGACCUAUUGUGAGACCACGUCAAGCUACCUACGCUUCACAUGAGUGUGUGUGGGCUUCUGAGCCACGGUUGCUCCAUUGCUGCAGACGGAGGAGCAGUCAGCACCAUCAGCCCCAGCAGAUGAGGAGCGUUUCCUGGAGAAUCAGUACAGAGCUGCUCAUCUCCAGAUCAGCU
rnacentral:lncRNA from 1 species